UCUAGUAACAAAACAUAUCUGU
rnacentral:miRNA from 1 species